UACGGAGGGUCCAAGCGUUAUCCGGAUUCAUUGGGUUUAAAGGGUGCGUAGGCGGAAAAUUAAGUCAGUGGUGAAAGCCCAUAGCUCAACUAUGGAAUUGCCAUUGAUACUGGUUUUCUUGAAUACGGUCGAUGUGGGCGGAAUAUGUCAUGUAGCGGUGAAAUGCUUAGAUAUGACAUAGAACACCAAUUGCGAAGGCAGCUCACAAGCCCGUUAUUGACGCUGAGGCACGAAAGCGUGGGGAGCGAACAGG
rnacentral:rRNA from 1 species